AGAGUUUGAUCCUGGCUCAGAUUGAACGCUGGCGGCAUGCCUUACACAUGCAAGUCGAACGGCAGCACGGGAGCAAUCCUGGUGGCGAGUGGCGAACGGGUGAGUAAUAUAUCGGAACGUACCUUUCAGUGGGGGAUAACGUAGCGAAAGUUACGCUAAUACCGCAUAUUCUGUGAGCAGGAAAGCAGGGGACCUUCGGGCCUUGCGCUGAUUGAGCGGCCGAUAUCAGAUUAGCUAGUUGGUGAGGUAAAGGCUCACCAAGGCGACGAUCUGUAGCGGGUCUGAGAGGAUGGUCCGCCACACUGGAACUGAGACACGGUCCAGACUCCUACGGGAGGCAGCAGUGGGGAAUUUUGGACAAUGGGGGCAACCCUGAUCCAGCCAUGCCGCGUGAGUGAAGAAGGCCUUCGGGUUGUAAAGCUCUUUCGGCCGGGAAGAAAUCGCAUCAGCUAAUACCUGGUGUGGAUGACGGUACCGGAAUAAGAAGCACCGGCUAACUACGUGCCAGCAGCCGCGGUAA
rnacentral:rRNA from 1 species